rnacentral:lncRNA from 1 species
GUAUUUUCCGCCGAUGACGUCAUCAGCGUCCAAUAAUUGUUUUUUUGGAUCGAACUUGCAUCCAAAAAAAAAAAUUAUUGGACUCUCUCGUGCCCAAACCCUUGCGCGGCCAAAAGCUUGAACCUAUAAGCGCGCGAAAAAAACAAACAAACAAUGGCCUACAGCAGAUUUACUUCGCUGAAUGAAAGUGAACUCUCCAAAUUAUUGGCAGAUAAGGAUAGUGAAAGCACGAAAAAAGCCACAAAGGGGUAAAUAGAAG